CCGCGCUGCUGCUAUGGCCCAGGAGCGCUCAUCUUCUGCUGCCGUCAGAAGAUGCUGUGUGGAACCAGGGAGUGAGUCUACUGACACCAAGAACUUCCCAGCUUCUCAAGCUGCCACGGCAGCGCAGACUGGACAAGGUGCCCUCCCUGCAAGGUGGACUCUGAGCUCUCUGCGCUCUGCUGCUCUAUUCUGCUCUCCAGGCCCCACGGAGCUCUCUGCUAUACCCGUUCUUCACCGUUUCUCCGAGCUAACUUUCCCACCCUCGGAGCUAGCAUGGUCUUAGUCAUUCUUCAAAAGCCAAUUAACAGGUCGCUUCUCACUCACACCCUCCCUAAAUCUCCAUGUGUGAUCUACCAGAAUUCUUCAAAGAAGCAGAGCCCGGAAGGAACCACAGACGCCAGCCAGUCUAAAGCUAAAGGCUUGAAAAUCCGGAGACGGGUAGUGUGGAAAACAGAAGAACACAAGGCCCAGGCUAUAGUUAGACAACAUGGCACUGAUAUGGAUAGGUGGGACAAAUCAGCUAAAUUGUGACUAGCAGUGGACAAUUUGGGGCCAAGAGUCAGCACAAGUUAGCUGAUACCUAAUGUCUGGGGAAGCCCAAAGUACAGAGUGAUUUCAAAUGCUAUCUAAUUUUUUUUCAGACACAUUCGUGUCAUUCUGUAUAAACAUGGCCUUGAGGGCA